AUUGAACGCUGGCGGCAGGCCUAACACAUGCAAGUCGAGCGGAUGAAGGGGGCUUGCUCCUGGAUUCAGCGGCGGACGGGUGAGUAAUGCCUAGGAAUCUGCCUGGUAGUGGGAGAUAACGUCCGGAAACGGGCGCUAAUACCGCAUACGUCCUGAGGGAGAAAGUGGGGGAUCUUCGGACCUCACGCUAUCAGAUGAGCCUAGGUCGGAUUAGCUAGUUGGUGGGGUAAAGGCCUACCAAGGCGACGAUCCGUAACUGGUCUGAGAGGAUGAUCAGUCACACUGGAACUGAGACACGGUCCAGACUCCUACGGGAGGCAGCAGUGGGGAAUAUUGGACAAUGGGCGAAAGCCUGAUCCAGCCAUGCCGCGUGUGUGAAGAAGGUCUUCGGAUUGUAAAGCACUUUAAGUUGGGAGGAAGGGCAGUAAGUUAAUACCUUGCUGUUUUGACGUUACCAACAGAAUAAGCACCGGCUAACUUCGUG
rnacentral:rRNA from 1 species